CAAGUGUAUGUGUACCUGAAAAACCUUAUACAGAAGUGCCUUGACACCUUCCUUUCUGUUUACUGAAGGAAGGUCUUGCUAAGUUUACAUUUGAUCAACUCUAGAUUGCAAAGUAGUCUUCUUAAAAACAGGACUAUAAAGAUGCAAAAGAUAAGAAAGAUGCGAAGGAUAAAAAAGGCAAAAUUUUUGACACAUUUUAGAAAAAAUCAUUUUAUACGAAAGACAUUCUUGAUUUGUGAAGCAAAAGCAGAAAAUGGAGAUGUUUAUGCUAAACAUUUUUUAAA